ensembl:snRNA U6 U6 spliceosomal RNA
UUGCUUGCUUUGGCAGCACAUAUACUAAAAUUGGAAUGAUACAGAGAAGAUUAGCCUGGCCCCUGCACAAAGAUGAUACUCAAAUUUGUGAAGCAUUAAAAUAAAUA